UCGAUACCCGACCGAAAGACCGUGAACUUGUAAACGGAUGUCACCAGGGUUGUCGGGCAAGCUCGGCCUCCCUGGAGCCCUGCCGCCCCCUUUCGGAGCGACCUUGUGUCGCGCGAAUGGGGGUGGUACGGGAUAACGAAACCCCGGCGCUGCAUGCGCCAAGGAACAUAUAUGACCGGAUGGACGUCUGCCUCUGCCCUUGUGGCGAGGCAACGACCGCUGAACAUUACCAUACGACUCUCGGCAACGGAUAUCUCGGCUCUCGCAUCGAUGAAGAACGUAGCGAAAUGCGAUACUUGGUGUGAAUUGCAGAAUCCCGUGAACCAUCGAGUUUUUGAACGCAAGUUGCGCCCGAGGCCUUCCGGCUGAGGGCACGCCUGCCUGGGCGUCACGCCUCGCGUCGCUCUAUGCUCCUGACCCUUCGGGGCGGUGGUGUUGAUGCGGAAAUUGGCCCCCCGUACCUUGUGUGCGGUGGGCUAAAGAGAGGGCUGCCAGCCAGGUGUGGCACGGCAAGUGGUGGACAUAGCGCCAGCAGGAUGCCGUGGCCCCCCUAGCUGGAUGGACCCAAGUGACCCGGAUAAGGUGAGACGCACUCCUGUAUGGGAUUGUAUUGUCGCCUCCCAAC
rnacentral:misc_RNA from 1 species